rnacentral:rRNA from 1 species
AAUAUUGGACAAUGGGCGAAAGCCUGAUCCAGCCAUGCCGCGUGUCUGUAGAAGGUUUUUGUCUUGCAAAGAACUUUAAGUUGGGAGGAAGGGUUGUAGAUUAAUACUCUGCAAUCUUGCCGUUACUGACAGAAUACGCACCGCCUAACUCCGUGCCAGCAGCCGCGGUAAUAUGAAGGGUGCAAGCAUUAAUCGGAAUUACUAGGUGUAAAGCGGGCGGAGGUGGUUGGUUAAGUUGGAUGAGGGAACCCCCGGCUCAACCUGGGAACUGCAUCCAAAACUGGCGAGCGACAAGACAGUAGAUGGGGGUGGAAUUUCCUGUGUAGCGGUGAAAUGCGUAGAUAUAAGAAGGAACACCAGUGGCGAAGGCGGCCGCCUGGACUGAUACUGACACUGAGGUGCGAAAGCGUAGGGAGCAAACAGG